ensembl:lncRNA
GGAGAUCUGCACAUAUUGUCCCCACCAACAAGACUAAGAUAUAAUGUAGUCAGUCCUGACAGCGUACAGAUCUCUUGGAAAGCCCCCAAAGGGCAAUUCAGUGGAUAUAAGCUUCUUGUCACUCCAAGUUCAGGUGGGAAAACCAAUCAAUUAGUUCUUCAAAACACUGCAACCAAAGCAAUUAUUCAAGGUCUUAUUCCAGAUCAAAACUAUGCCCUUCAGAUCAUUGCAUUCAGUGAAGACAAGGAGAGUAAGCCAGCACAAGGCCAGUUCAGAAUUAAAGAUAUAGAGAGAAGAAAAGAAACAAGUAAAUCCAAGGUGAAGGAUCCAGAAAAAACAAAUGCGAGUAAACCAGCUCCAGAAGGAAGCCUGUUUACGUGUAAAACUCCAGCAAUUGCAGAUAUUGUGAUACUGGUGGAUGGUUCUUGGAGUAUUGGCAGGUUCAAUUUCAGACUUGUUCGACUGUUCCUGGAAAAUCUGGUUUCUGCUUUCAAUGUGGGAUCUGAGAAAACAAGAGUAGGUCUUGCACAGUACAGUGGUGAUCCCCGAAUUGAAUGGCAUUUGAAUGCCUAUGGCACAAAAGAUGCUGUUUUGGAUGCAGUCCGCAAUUUGCCAUAUAAGGGAGGGAAUACAUUAACAGGUCUUGCCUUAACUUAUAUUUUGGAAAACAGCUUUAAGCCUGAAGCAGGUGCAAGACCUGGAGUAUCUAAAAUUGGUAUACUCAUCACUGAUGGAAAGUCCCAAGAUGAUGUUAUCCCUCCUGCUAAAAACUUACGAGAUGCUGGCAUUGAGCUGUUUGCUAUUGGUGUAAAGAAUGCAGAUAUAAAUGAACUCAAAGAGAUUGCCUCUGAGCCCGACAGCACGCACGUCUACAACGUUGCUGACUUUAACUUCAUGCAUACCAUUGUUGAAGGUCUUACCAGAACAGUGUGCUCACGAGUAGAGGAACAGGAAAAGGAAAUCAAAGGAACAAUUGUUGCUUCACUUGGGGCUCCUUCGGAUUUGGUCACAUCCGAGGUAACAGCUAGAGGAUUCCGGGUUAGCUGGACACAUGCACCAGGAAAAGUUGAAAAAUACAGGGUUGUGUACUAUCCCACUCGAGGAGGACAACCAGAAGAGGUUGUGGUAGAUGGAAGCUUAUCGACAGCAGUGCUGAAAAACCUAAUGUCUUUGACUGAAUACCAGAUAGCUGUGUUUGCAAUAUACUCCAAUGCUGCUAGUGAGGGCCUCCGUGGAACUGAAACUACACUUGCCUUGCCAAUGGCGUCAGAUCUGCAAUUGUAUGAUGUGUCACAGAGCAGCAUGAGAGCAAAGUGGAAUGGAGUGGCGGGUGCCACAGGUUACAUGAUCCUAUAUGCUCCCCUCACGGAAGGACUGGCAGCAGAUGAGAAGGAGAUAAAAAUUGGGGAGGCCUCAACAGAUCUUGAACUGGAUGGACUAUUGCCAAAUACAGAAUAUACAGUCACAGUUUAUGCCAUGUUUGGAGAAGAAGCUAGUGAUCCCCUUACAGGACAAGAAACUACAUUGCCUCUAAGUCCACCAGCAAACUUGAAAUUUUCUGAUGUUGGACACAGUAGUGCUAAGCUAACGUGGGAUCCUGCUUCCAAAAAUGUAAAUGGCUAUCGCAUCAUGUACGUUAAAACAGAUGGAACAGAAACCAAUGAGGUGGAAGUUGGUCGUGUUUCAACCCAUACUCUAAAAAGCCUGACAUCCCUUACAGAGUACACUGUUGCUAUUUUCUCCCUGUAUGAUGAAGGACAAUCUGAACCACUUACUGGCAGCUUUACCACAAGUAAAGUUCCAGCUCCCCAGCAUUUGGAAAUUGAUGAAGCAUCAACAGAUAGUUUUAGGGUCAGCUGGAAGCCCACCUCCUCAGAUAUUGCUUUUUACAGAUUGGCAUGGAUUCCUUUGGACGGGGGGGAUUCUGAAGAGGUUGUCAUAAAUGGAGAUGCAGACAGUCACGUUAUUGAGGGUUUGUUGCCCAACACAGAAUAUGAAGUUUCUUUGCUGGCAGUUUUUGACGAUGAAACGGAAAGUGAAGCUGUUGCUGUUCUUGGAGCUACAUUUGCAGAGACAACCAUGCUACCGACCACUGUGUCUACUACCAUUUUUCGAACAGGAAUCAGAAACCUUGUUAUAGACGAUGAAACAACCUCAAGCCUGAGGGUGAUGUGGGACAUUUCAGAUUACAGUGUUCAGCAGUUCAGAGUGACCUAUCUCACUGCGAAAGGAGACCGUGCUGAGGAAGCGGUAAGAAUGGUAAUGGUGCCGGGGAGACAAAAUACUUUUCUGCUUCAGCCUCUGAUGUCUGACACAGAAUACAAAGUUACCAUCACUCCCAUCUACUCUGAUGGGGAAGGAGUCAGUGUCUCAGCUCCUGGCAAAACUUUACCCCUGUCUGCUCCUAGGAAUUUACGUGUGUCAGAUGAAUGGUACAACAGAUUACGCAUCAGUUGGGAUGCCCCGCCAUCACCCACAAUGGGUUACAGAAUUGUCUACAAACCUAUCAACAUUCCUGGUCCUGCAUUGGAGACCUUUGUAGGGGAUGAUAUUAAUACCAUUCUUGUUCUAAAUCUCUUCAGUGGAACGGAGUACAGUGUUAAAGUAUUUGCUUCAUACUCAACAGGCUUCAGUGAUGCCCUAACAGGCGUAGCCAAAACCUUGUACCUGGGUGUGACAAAUUUGGAUUCCUAUCAAGUCCGCAUGACUAGCCUCUGCGCUCAGUGGCAGCUUCACAGACAUGCCACUGCGUACAGGGUUGUUAUAGAGUCGCUUGUGGAUGGGAAGAAGCGAGAGGUAAAUCUUGGUGGAGGGACGCCUAGACAUUGUUUCUUUGAGCUGAUGCCUGGAACUGAAUAUAAAAUCAGUGUUCAUGCACAGCUUCAGGAGAUAGAGGGCCCUGCUGUAAGCAUCAUGGAGACAACAUUACCAUUUCCAACUCAACCACCAACAACACCUUCAACACCACCUCCACCACCUACAAUCCCUCCUGCGAAAGAGGUGUGCAAAGCAGCCAAAGCUGACCUAGCGUUCCUGGUGGAUGGGUCAUGGAGUAUUGGAGAUGACAAUUUCAAUAAAAUAAUCAGCUUUCUCUACAGCACUGUUGGAGCUUUGGAUAAGAUUGGUCCUGAUGGAACGCAGGUGGCGAUAAUUCAGUUCAGUGAUGAUCCCAGGACAGAAUUUAAAUUGAAUGCAUAUAAAACAAAAGAGACUCUUCUUGAAGCUAUUCAGCAAAUAGCCUACAAAGGAGGGAAUACAAAAACAGGCAAAGCCAUUAAACAUGCAAGAGAAGUCUUGUUUACGGGAGAGGCGGGCAUGAGGAGGGGCAUUCCGAAGGUUUUGGUUGUCAUUACUGAUGGGCGAUCACAGGACGAUGUGAACAAAGUCUCCAGAGAAAUGCAACUGGAUGGUUUCAGCUUUUUUGCUAUUGGAGUAGCUGAUGCUGACUAUUCGGAGUUAGUUAAUAUUGGCAGCAAACCCAGUGAAAGACAUGUCUUCUUUGUGGAUGACUUUGACGCCUUCACAAAGAUUGAAGAUGAGCUGAUCACUUUUGUUUGUGAAACUGCAUCAGCAACCUGCCCAUUGGUAGUUAAAGAUGGCAACAAUUUUGCAGGAUUUAAAAUGAUGGAAAUGUUUGGUUUGGUUGAAAAGGAGUUUUCAGCUGUGGAAGGGGUUUCAAUGGAACCCGGUACAUUUAAUGUUUACCCAUGCUACAGACUGCACAAGGAUGCCCUGGUAUCCCAGCCUACCAAGUAUUUGCAUCCUGAAGGUCUUCCUUCUGAUUACACCAUUACGUUUCUCUUUCGUAUCCUCCCCGACACACCUCAAGAGCCAUUUGCUCUUUGGGAGAUUUUAAAUGAAGCAUAUGAACCACUGGUUGGAGUUAUUUUAGAUAAUGGUGGCAAAACUCUGACUUUCUUUAACUACGACUACAAAGGAGAUUUUCAAACUGUCACGUUUGAAGGUCCUGAAAUAAGGAAGAUAUUUUAUGGGAGCUUUCAUAAGUUGCAUGUUGUUAUCAGCAAGACUACGGCUAAAAUAAUUAUUGACUGCAAGCAAGUGAGUGAGAAGACCAUUAAUGCAGCAGGGAAUAUCAGUUCUGAUGGCAUAGAAGUGCUGGGGAGGAUGGUCAGAUCCAGAGGACCAAGAGAUAACUCUGCACCACUGCAGUUACAGAUGUUUGACAUUGUUUGUGCUACCUCAUGGGCCAAUCGGGACAAAUGCUGUGAGCUUCCUGGCUUGAGAGAUGAAGAAAACUGUCCUGCCCUUCCUCAUGCUUGUUCCUGCUCAGAAGCUAAUAAGGGUCCCCUUGGACCUCCUGGUCCACCGGGACCAGAUGGACCUCGAGGUGAAAUUGGUGUUCCCGGACCACAAGGACCUCCAGGACCACAAGGACCCAGUGGACUUUCUAUUCAAGGGCUUCCAGUGAGACUUACAAAAUCAAUAUGUUAUGACACUGCUCCUGUUGUUGUCCAGGGUGAUCUCCAGUCCCAAGCAAUGGUGCGUGCUGUUGCUCGGCAAGUGUGUGAGCAACUCAUCCAGGGUCAUAUGGCAAGAUAUAACUCAAUUCUGAACCAGAUUCCAAGCCAGUCUGUCUCAACCCGAACCAUCGCAGGACCCCCUGGUGAGCCAGGUCGGCCAGGGGCUCCAGGGCCACAAGGAGAACAAGGUUCCCCAGGCAUGCAAGGGUUUCCAGGAAGUCCCGGUCAACCAGGAAGACCAGGAGAAAGAGGUUUACCAGGCGAGAAGGGAGAAAAAGGCAAUCCAGGAGUUGGAACACAAGGACCCCGAGGCCCACCAGGAUCUACAGGACCUCCAGGAGAAAGUCGAACUGGCAGCCCGGGACCACCAGGUUCUCCAGGCCCACGAGGUCCCCCCGGCCACACGGGGCCCCCGGGUUCCCAGGGUCCUUCAGGCCCGCCGGGGUACUGCGACCCGUCCUCCUGCGCGGGGGUGGCAUUUCCUAACAGCCAAAAUAAGAUGGAGACUACUGGCCAACCUUGGUAG